rnacentral:rRNA from 1 species
AGAGUUUGAUCCUGGCUCAGAUUGAACGCUGGCGGCAUGCCUUACACAUGCAAGUCGAACGGUAACGCGGGGCAACCUGGCGACGAGUGGCGAACGGGUGAGUAAUAUAUCGGAACGUGCCCAGUAGUGGGGGAUAGCCCGGCGAAAGCCGGAUUAAUACCGCAUGAGACCUGAGGGUGAAAGCGGGGAAUCGCAAGACCUCGCGCUAUUGGAGCGGCCGAUAUCAGAUUAGGUAGUUGGUGGGGUAAAGGCCUACCAAGCCGACGAUCUGUAGCUGGUCUGAGAGGACGACCAGCCACACUGGGACUGAGACACGGCCCAGACUCCUACGGGAGGCAGCAGUGGGGAAUUUUGGACAAUGGGCGCAAGCCUGAUCCAGCCAUGCCGCGUGCGGGAAGAAGGCCUUCGGGUUGUAAACCGCUUUUGUCAGGGAAGAAAUCUUCUGGGUUAAUACCUCGGGAGGAUGACGGUACCUGAAGAAUAAGCACCGGCUAACUACGUGCCAGCAGCCGCGGUAAUACGUAGGGUGCGAGCGUUAAUCGGAAUUGCUGGCGUAAAGCGUGCGCAGGCGGUCUUGCAAGACAGGUGUGAAAUCCCCGGGCUUAACCUGGGAACUGCACUUGUGACUGCAAGGCUGGAGUCNGCAGANGGGGAUGGA